CUGAGGCAGGCAGCAGGGCCCCAUGGUGCUCACCAUUUUAUUCCUGCCAGCAUAUCUGUCGAAGGCAUACGUAUACCAAUGGCUGAUGACUGCCACAAGCGCCUUGGGGGCAAAGCCCAGACCGGCCCUCGGGAGCUUGCAAAAACAGCUGAUGUAGGACAAGCACAGAACCUCUGAGGAAGGUGUCAUCUUUCUAUUUUCCACCUUGUAUCCCACCCAAGAGCUGAUCCUGUCUCUCAAGGCCAGCAGGACAUUUGAGAAUAUACUGCAAGCUGGGUGCUUUCAUACGUUAUUUCACUUCAUCCUUGAAAUAAUCGGUAUCUUCAUUUUACACAUAAUAGUGUGUUAGCAACACCCUCUGAGCACCGUGACGUCAAGCUUGUAUACGCCAUGGCUAACCCUCCCUGAAAGCGCCACACUCGUCUAUAUUCCCGUUUUGUAGAUGAAGAAACCAAGGUGCUGCAUUAAGUGGCAGGGAGCACGCGGGGAGCAGCUCUGUGCAACUCCGAAGCGUUUCAGAGUCGGGCCAAGGGACCCAGCCUUGGAGUAAUGCCUAAGGAAGAGCACAUCGAUGGUUAGGGUAUAAAAAUUUAUUACAUGUACAGAACAUGACCACUGACGGCUGCAGACAGGCUAGGACACAAUGAUACUGGUUGGAAGAUGGUUGGCUCUUUGGAAAGUGAACAGGUUUGGGCGGCUCGGAGCCUCAUGCCACACGGAAUGGUCAGUCAGAAGGGAAAGCACAUGCCGAACACUGCGGGAGGUCAGGGCAUCGAGUGACGGAUCUGUGUGCCCACUGCCUUCCCUGUCUGAUCUGGGGCUUCGAAGGAUGACACGCCCGGAAGCAAGCAUAUGAAGCAAAAGGGAUUCCUAAGGUGGCCCAGGCUUGUCUCUGAAGUCACGGCAACACCAUUUUAAGCAAUAUGUUUAAUUGGAUGAUUUCCACAAACUAUACACGAAGUUUCUAACCAUCACAAUUCAGUGAAGUACAAAACAUUAAGUUACAGGCUGUGGGAAGAGAAGGCAGCACCAAUGGUGGCACCUUCCAAUCCUGGUUGGCCUAGGGGUAGGGGGUGGGGGAAGGUUUCGUUUUAAACUGAGCCCCUCAUUUCAAUGUACAAAAGAAUUACUCUGAUCGAUAUUAAAUUGUAUCGAAAACAAAAUGGACUAAAAAGCAACUACUACUCUAUGUCGGGGUGAAAAUGGGAGGAAAGAAUGAGUCCUUCAAAGCAGGAGGGGAGACAAUUGGGGGAAGGUUCUGUGGCUGUGACCCCAGGUGGU